GAUGAACGCUGGCGGCGUGCCUAAUACAUGCAAGUCGAGCGAACAGACGAGGAGCUUGCUCCUCUGACGUUAGCGGCGGACGGGUGAGUAACACGUGGAUAACCUACCUAUAAGACUGGGAUAACUUCGGGAAACCGGAGCUAAUACCGGAUAAUAUAUUGAACCGCAUGGUUCAAUAGUGAAAGACGGUUUUGCUGUCACUUAUAGAUGGAUCCGCGCCGCAUUAGCUAGUUGGUAAGGUAACGGCUUACCAAGGCAACGAUGCGUAGCCGACCUGAGAGGGUGAUAGGCCACACUGGAACUGAGACACGGUCCAGACUCCUACGGGAGGCACCAGUAGGGAACCUUCCGCAAUGGGCGAAAGCCUGACGGAGCAACGCCGCGUGAGUGAUGAAGGUCUUCGGAUCGUAAAACUCGGUUAUGAGGGAAGAACAAAUGUGUAAGUAACUAUGCACGUCUUGACGGUACCGAAUCAGAAAGCCACGGCUAACUACGUG
rnacentral:rRNA from 1 species